AAGUAUUCAUAUACACAUAAUUAGACCUUGACCAUCAAUGGAGUGACUCUAGGCAUAGUUGCUAACAUUAAUGUCAUGGUAAACCUACCGAGCAAUGGAUAGGGAGGAGCACUUCGUCCUAGGAUCCAGUCACCUUUAACUCAAAUAACCCAAAACAUGAAGUUUAAAAACGUGAAUAUAAACCCAGUGAGUGAACAUAGGAACGGAACAAGCAACGUUAAGAAAAGUUUAGAAAUCAUGAUGCACUUAAGUUCAAAAAUAAUGCAAUUUAGUUAAACUCUUAUUAAAACCCCUCAUUUCAAACCCUUGGUUGUUUAAUCACUCGAUGAUGAAGGAUCCAUGAACCACAAAAAAUUGAAGAGUGAAAACUUUAGUAAAAUUCAAGCAAGUCAAGCAUAAUGGAUUGAUUCUCGCUGUAGUGAAAAGGCAUUCUCGCUACAGCGAAAUUCUGGCCAGAUAAAAUCUAAGGGGUUUUCACUACCACAAGGAAGAUCCACUCAUGCCACAUUGUACAUUAAAUUCAACACAUUGACAAUAAUCAAGUUUUCUCAAUAUUCAAUGCAAUCACACAUUAUUUUCAUACCCCUUUCUAUAGCAUAUAAAAACAUAUCAUAGCAUAUAUAUAUAUAUACAAGCAUGUAUACAACCACCACCUCACCCAGCUCAUGUGCACUCCGCCCGCACAUAGCAGAAGUCAUCUGUGCACUCCCUACUCGCACACUUCAACAUCAUUGUGUGCAUUCCCUACUCGCACACAUCAAUAUCAUCGUGUGCACUCCCUAUUCGCACACAUCAAUAUCACUAUCCACACUUCCGCAUCCCAUCAUCACCGGCAUGUGCAUCCC
rnacentral:lncRNA from 1 species